GAUGAACGCUAGCUACAGGCUUAACACAUGCAAGUCGAGGGGAAACGACAGAGGAAGCUUGCUUCCUUUGGGCGUCGACCGGCGCACGGGUGAGUAACGCGUAUCCAACCUUCCCGCAAGUAAGGGAUAACCCGUAGAAAUGCGGCCUAAUACCUUAUGUUUUCCUUAGAGGGCAUCUGAUGAGGAACAAAGAUCCGUCGCUUGCGGAUGGGGAUGCGUCUGAUUAGUUAGUCGGCGGGGUAACGGCCCACCGAGACGACGAUCAGUAGGGGUUCUGAGAGGAAAGUCCCCCACAUUGGAACUGAGACACGGUCCAAACUCCUACGGGAGGCAGCAGUGAGGAAUAUUGGUCAAUGGGCGGAAGCCUGAACCAGCCAAGUAGCGUGCAGGACGACGGCCCUAUGGGUUGUAAACUGCUUUUAUAAGGGAAUAAAGUUAGUCUCGUGAGACUUUUUGCAGUACCGCAUGAAUAAGGACCGGCUAAUUCCGUG
rnacentral:rRNA from 1 species